rnacentral:rRNA from 1 species
UACGGGGGGAGCAAGCGUUGUUCGGAUUUACUGGGCGUAAAGGGCGCGUAGGCGGUCAGCACAAGUCAGUUGUGAAAUCUCCGGGCUUAACUCGGAACGGUCAACUGAUACUGUGCGGCUAGAGUGCGGAAGGGGCAACUGGAAUUCUCGGUGUAGCGGUGAAAUGCGUAGAUAUCGAGAGGAACACCUGCGGCGAAGGCGGGUUGCUGGGCUGACACUGACGCUGAUGCGCGAAAGCUAGGGGAGCGAACGGG